rnacentral:rRNA from 1 species
AACGUAGGAGACAAACGUUAUCCGGAGUUACUGGGCGUAAAGGGCGCGUAGGCGGUCAGCACAAGUCAGUUGUGAAAUCUCCGGGCUUAACUCGGAAAGGUCAACUGAUACUGUGCGACUAGAGUGCAGAAGGGGCAACUGGAAUUCUCGGUGUAGCGGUGAAAUGCGUAGAUAUCGAGAGGAACACCUGCGGCGAAGGCGGGUUGCUGGGCUGACACUGACGCUGAGGCGCGAAAGCUAGGGGAGCGAACGGG